rnacentral:rRNA from 1 species
GAUUAACGCUGGCGGCGUGCAUAACACAUUCAAGUCGAGCGGUGACGGGGCUUCGGCCCCUGAUCAGUGGCGGACGGGUGAGUAACGCGUGAGCAACCUGCCCUUGUGUGGGGGAUAACGUUUGGAAACGGACGCUAAUACCGCAUAACCCAAUAGUACGGCAUCGUACAGUUGGCAAAGAUUUAUUGCACAAGGAUGGGCUCGCGUCUGAUUAGGUAGUUGGUGGGGUAACGGCCUACCAAGCCCGCGAUCAGUAGCCGAACUGAGAGGUUGAAAGGCCACAUUGGAACUGAGAUACGGUCCAGACUCCUACGGGAGGCAGCAGUGGGGAAUAUUGGGCAAUGGGGGAAACCCUGACCCAGCGACGCCGCGUGAGGGAAGAAGGUCUUCGGAUUGUAAACCUUAAACAACAGGGACGAAACAAAUGACGGUACCUGUUAGGAAGCCACGGCUAACUACGUGCCAGCAGCCGCCGCCGUAA